UGUAGGAGCUGGCUUGCCAGCGAUAGCGGUAGGCCAGUCACCACUAAUGUUGAAUGGUAGGCCGCCAUCGCUGGCAGGCCAGCUCCCACA
rnacentral:misc_RNA from 1 species